UGGGGAAUAUUGCGCAAUGGGCGAAAGCCUGACGCAGCGACGCCGCGUGAGUGAAGAAGGCCUUCGGGUUGUAAAGCUCUGUCGGAGGGGAAGAAUGGCGGAUGUUCUAACAGGGCAUCCGAUUGACGGUACCCUCAAAGGAAGCACCGGCUAACUUCGUGCCAGCAGCCGCGGUAAUACGAAGGGUGCGAGCGUUGCUCGGAAUUAUUGGGCGUAAAGCGUGGGUAGGUGGUCUCGUUAGUCUAGGGUGAAAGACCUGAGCUCAACUCAGGAAGGGCCCUGGAAACGGCGAGACUAGAGUCCUAGAGAGGUUAGCGGAAUUCCCGGUGUAGCGGUGAAAUGCGUAGAGAUCGGGAGGAACACCAGAGGUGUAGACGGCUAACUGGAUAGGUACUGACAC
rnacentral:rRNA from 1 species